UGGGGAAUAUUGGACAAUGGGGGCAACCCUGAUCCAGCAAUGCCGCGUAUGUGAAGAAGGCCUUCGGGUUGUAAAGCAUUAGCAGUUGGGAAGAGUAGUAUUGGGUUAAGAGCUAGAUACUAGGACAUUACCGACAUAAGAAGCACCGGCUAACUCUGUGCCAGCAGCCGCGGUAAUACAGAGGGUGCAAGCGUUAAUCGGAAUUACUGGGCGUAAAGAGUGCGCAGGUUGUUUAUUAAGUAUGAUGUGAAAUGCCUUGGCUUAACUAAGGAAGUGCAUCAUAAACUGGUAGGCUAGAGUAUUGUAGAGGAUAGCGGAAUUCCCGGUGUAGCGGUGAAAUGCGUAGAUAUCGGGAGGAACAUCAGUUGCGAAGGCGGCUAUCUGGACGAAGACUGACACU
rnacentral:rRNA from 1 species